rnacentral:misc_RNA from 1 species
CAACCCUCAAGCUCUGCUUGGUGUUGGGGACCGGCCGCAGCCUCAGUGCUCUGCCGCCCCCUAAAUACAGUGGCGGUCCCGCCGCAGCCUCCUUUGCGUAGUAGUAAACCACCUCGCACACGGAACGCAGCGCGACCACGCCGUUAAACCCCCAACUUUCUGAA